UUGAACGCUGGCGGCAUGCUUUACACAUGCAAGUCGAACGGUAACAGGUUAAGCUGACGAGUGGCGAACGGGUGAGUAAUGCAUCGGAACGUGCCCGAUCGUGGGGGAUAACGCAGCGAAAGCUGCGCUAAUACCGCAUACGAUCUGAGGAUGAAAGCGGGGGAUCGCAAGACCUCGCGCGAUUGGAGCGGCCGAUAUCAGAUUAGGUAGUUGGUGGGGUAAAGGCCCACCAAGCCGACGAUCUGUAGCUGGUCUGAGGGUACGACCAGCCACACUGGAACUGAGACACGGUCCAGACUCCUACGGGAGGCAGCAGUGGGGAAUUUUGGACAAUGGGCGCAAGCCUGAUCCAGCAAUGCCGCGUGCAGGAUGAAGGCCUUCGGGUUGUAAACUGCUUUUGUACGGAACGAAACGGUCUGCUCUAAUACAGUGGGCUAAUGACGGUACCGUAAGAAUAAGCACCGGCUAACUACGU
rnacentral:rRNA from 1 species